rnacentral:lncRNA from 10 species
AGUGCCUACUGAGUUCCUAGCACAGUGCUCAGCACAGGAUACACAUUGGAUAACAAAACAGAGGAAGAUAACUUCAUCAAAGGAUCACACCAAAUAGAUAAAGAAUUACAACCUAAGAGAAGUACACUCAGGAAAGACACCAUUGUGUAUAAAAUGGAAACUUAACCUAGAACUGGGGGUGUGACAGUGGGAGGUCAGGGAUUUACCAUAAUCAGAUUUGCAUAUUGGAAAGAUCACUUCAGCUGCAGUUUGGAGCACAUACUGGAGGGGAGCCAGAGUGGAUGGAAUCAUGAUUUUCAAAAGCAGCAAGAUUCUAAUAGCAAAAGGGAGAUGACAGUGAUGGAAAAGUUGUAUUUGGGAAUUCCACUUCAACCCUCCUUUUUUUCCUUUUUAGUUUGCUUGUCUUCUCCUUCCAUAAAUCUGUUGUUGAAUAUCUUAACAGGAAAGUGAGUCAUAUAACUUUAGAUCCAAAUUCUAGGCAAACACUUUCUCCAAUUAUUCUACCUGUUUUUCUAACACAUAUUCCCUGGUAGCAUCCCCUGGGCUUUGCUCCUAAACUCUUUCUAAUCACAGAGAAAUAUAAGCAAAUCUAUUGCAAGGUCGCUUGUGAUCUGCGCAACUCUUAAAUGUUUGGUGUUGAUUUUGCUUUCAGCUGGAUUGCACCUAAACCAUACCAGAGUGGUAAAUUAAACUCCCCCAGUGUUUAAGUUCCUUCUGAAGAAGACAUCGCAAUUUUCUUUGGUGAAUUAAAAUGCCUAAUGAUGUUACAAAUCUAUGCCUCUUCCUGAUUUCUGUGGAGAUUAAGACUAGCUUGCCA